AUUGAACGCUGGCGGCAGGCCUAACACAUGCAAGUCGAACGGUAACAGGAAGAAGCUUGCUUCUUUGCUGACGAGUGGCGGUCGGGUGAGUAAUGUCUGGGAAACUGCCUGAUGGAGGGGGAUAACUACUGGAAACGGUAGCUAAUACCGCAUAACGUCGCAAGACCAAAGAGGGGGACCUUCGGGCCUCUUGCCAUCGGAUGUGCCCAGAUGGGAUUAGCUAGUAGGUGGGGUAACGGCUCACCUAGGCGACGAUCCCUAGCUGGUCUGAGAGGAUGACCAGCCACACUGGAACUGAGACACGGUCCAGACUCCUACGGGAGGCAGCAGUGGGGAAUAUUGCACAAUGGGCGCAAGCCUGAUGCAGCCAUGCCGCGUGUAUGAAGAAGGCCUUCGGGUUGUAAAGUACUUUCAGCGGGGAGGAAGGGAGUAAAGUUAAUGCCUUUGCUCAUUGACGUUACCCGCAGAAGAAGCACCGGCUAACUCCGUG
rnacentral:rRNA from 1 species